rnacentral:tRNA from 1 species
GGAGACGUGGCUGAGUGGCCGAAAGCAGCCGCCUGCUAAGCGGUUAGGGGGGUAAUACUCCCUCGGAGGUUCGAAUCCUCCCGUCUCCG